rnacentral:tRNA from 1 species
CAGAAAAUAGUUUAAUAAAAACAUUAAUUUUGGAUAUUAAAAAUAGGCAGCUUUUUCUGU